GAAAUUUGUCCCUUUCUCACUCUCCCUUUCUCCAGAAACGCAGCAUGUCCCCAGGGCUUCUCCUGCUGUCGCUGCAACUUGCUCCUAAGCUCCUUCUUCUACUUCUUAAACGCUGUCGUUUCUUCGUUUCUCUGAGAAUGUUAAAUUCUGCAUUCCUCUUCCUCUCUCUUCCACGCACAUUGUGAUCUCCUUCUUCGAUCCAUUCAUUUCAUAUUUACACACAUUCAGUGCAAGGAGUUCAGUUGGUAUUCUUGUGGUCUUCUAGUGCUCUUUUAGAGAAGAAGUCCUUUGAAUAGUUCACAUGGAGCAAUAUGAAGUACUGGAGCAAAUAGGCAAGGGAUCAUUUGGUUCAGCUCUUCUUGUGAAGCAUAAACAUGAAAAGAAGAAGUAUGUGCUGAAAAAGAUCCGUCUUGCCCGGCAGACUGAUAGGUCACGCCGUUCUGCACAUCAAGAGAAGGAACUCAUUUCUAGAAUUCGAAAUCCAUUUAUUGUAGAGUACAAAGAUUCCUGGGUAGAGA
rnacentral:misc_RNA from 1 species